rnacentral:lncRNA from 1 species
UCACGCGAACCCUCUCGCCCUUUCCCCUCCCCCCGCCGCAUCGCCGCCCGCGUCGACGAGCAGGAAGCCCCACUCUCCCGCCCCGCCGGCCACCGCAUCGGUCUCCUGCAUCCACUGACCUUGGGGCUGCCUGCUGUGAACUGCGCGACCGAGCGAGACGGACGGGGCGCGCUUCCUAGAGCACCUACGGGUGAUGGAUGCGGUCCCGUUCCGGUCGGAUCCGCGGCGGCGCUACUCUCCGGCGACGUCGCAGCUGGAUCCGCAGCGACGCGUCACUAUCUGCAACGACACAACUCCAGUAAGCCACUACCUAUGCCUCACAAAUCCAUUCAAUGCGGGCUGCUCAGAUCCGCCCCCUCCUCGUCUUCUUAGCCACUGAAUUGAUUCUCUGUUCUCUUUGUGCCGUGGCGCCAUGAGCAAACCUGACAUGCACGGCGAGGACGACGACUGCUUGCCGACGCCGACGCCGCCGCCCUCGGCAAGGAGGGAUGACAUGCACAUGCACUCAGCACGGAUCCACAGCGGCGCUCCUCUCCGGCGAUGUCGCAGGUGCAUCCGAGGAGUUGCGUCCAGAUCUGCAACGCCACAGCUCCGGUACGACACUCCCCAUGGCAGAUCCGCCCCCUCCUAGUCUUAAUCAAAUGUUUCUAGCGUGCUGAUGUGGUUCUCUAUUCUAUCUGUGGCGCGGGGCAGCGACCAAACCUCGCAUGCACGGCGAGGACGACGACUGCUUGCCGACGCCGCCGCCCUCGGUGAGGAGGGAUGACAUGCACAAGCAGAAAGCACGCUGUGCACCGACCGACGCGCCGCGGGGACACGACCACCUCAACCAACGGCGCAUCUGACCACACCUCCACAUCCACACCGCUCCAGCCAGCCGGUCACAAGACAUCGCUCUGUGCCCGCCUCAUGCCGCUGCACCCCUCGGCAGCAACUCCCUCUCAGCAACAGCUAGCUCGCACGGAUCCCGCUUAUCUGAUGGUAAGAACAUUAAUCCUUAAUCUGUGGCAGCAUCUCUGCAUCCUUAGAUAUAUUUUGUAGGUUUUGUUCAGAUGUUGAACUGAACAUUGAGCAUUUUAGUUUCCAUAUGUUUGUGUAGAUGCUUGCUAGAUGUUAGCUAGGGUUUCUGCUGAUGUUUGCUAGAUGUUUGCUAGGGUUUUUGGAGAUGUACCUAUAGUACCUUGAGCAUUAUUAUAGGGUUUGUGCAGAUGUUUGCUACAACUUUGAGCAUUUUUUUUCAAUAUGUUGCAGACCGUCUUGCUGUGCAUGACGGAUAACAGAAGACAUUGACCUUUUUAUAGAAGGGGUACAGCUAUGCACCUUUCAUGCACCUGUUGCUAGGUAUGGUGUAUGUUUUUACUUAACUUUCUAAGAAAUCCUUUAUUGGUCAGCUGUUGCUAUGUUAUCAAAUACCAUAAGGUGUUCAGAAAGCAAGUCAUGAACCAAUGGAGGUUAAACUAUCGUAGAUUGUGGUGUGCCAUAUAAUUAGCUUAUGCAGAAUCAACUGCUUUAAUUUGAAUUUGUGCAAAUUUACCAAAUUAUCACAAAAGUACACUCCCAAGAAAAGUUAUCACCUGAGGAUGAAUUAUUUGGAAUGCAUAUCUCAAAGUAACAUGUUUACUGAUUUCCUAUUAUUAGCCACUUCUAUUACGAACCAGACCCACUUGUGAAGGCCACAUUAACAUUUGCAGGAGCAGCACUGGCACCUAUUGCCCUGCUGUACUGAUGAGGGCCAGAGCGAACUGGGAUGCAUGUGGCGAACAGAGGAUGUAUAUGUCAGCUCCCUCACCUUCAACAUGUCGAUUAUAUGUGAGGGCUUCUUCUUAUUUUUCGUUCUCCAAUUUUAAUUUUUAUUAUCCAUGUGGAAAAAGAUUUUAGGUUGUGUCCUCUCUUUUAAUUUAAUGCUCAGCCAUGUCCUCUUCCAAUUGAAAGCUAUCCAUAUUGACAGCUCCUAUUAUUAAUGUGGGUGCUUUACUCUUCAUAUUUUGAUGCCUAUGCAUUUUACUGGAAAUGUUGUAUGGAGGACUAAAAUUCUUCAUGUGAAAGUAACCGUAGUAGAACUAAGAUUAGUAUAAACUAUUUUCAUGUAUGAUUUCUUUUUAAUUUCUAGCAGUGUAUAAUUGUUGUUUGUGAAUUUUAGGAUUGUAUUAAACAAAACCCAAAAAUUCUUAACACCGGUGCAACGCGCAGGGCUUUUAUUACAUGAAAGGACUUAUUAUUAUGACUAUCAUAAUAUUAAGAUUUUCAUAAUUGUUUUUUUUUGUUCUCUUCCAUGUUAAGAAUUCCAUGCAUGCUAAUUUUGCUAUAUAAUGUGCUUAAGAAAAUGACGUGUUCAGAAUUGCCAGCAAAAAAUUGUAGGUGAACAUACAGGAAAUACAAGAUAAAUCAUACUUUUGAUAGAAUAUCUCAACAAAACAUGAUCCUAGUAUAACAAAUAUAACACUAUUAGAGAAUAUAAAGAUCCAGAAUUAUUCGUACCUAGAGGAACUCGCCUUAAAGAUGCUCCUUGCUUACACAAGGUACUCCUUGGGAAAUUUUCGUCCAGGUCAGCUGUUGUGAUGGCCGAAGGAAGAGCAAGGAGGGGGAGGAGGGAUGGCAGAGAAGGUUAACAUAUAU